UCCUUAUCAAGAGCGGCGGAGGGACAGGCCCUGUGAUGCCCGGCAACCUGUAGCGUGAAAGCUGCAAGGUGCUAAUUCCUGCGGAAUCAAGAGUUACCUUUGUAACUCUCCGAAAGAUGAGGC
rnacentral:ncRNA from 2 species